GGUUGAAUAGUGUAGUUGGUUAUCACAUCGGAUUUUGAUGUUAGGUUUCGGCCACGAAAUCUUCCGAUAACUUGGGUUCGAAUCCCAAUUCGACCU